AUUGAACGCUGGCGGCACGCCUAACACAUGCAAGUCGAACGGCAGCAGCAGAGCUUGCUCUGGCUGGCGAGUGGCGGACGGGUGAGUAACGCGUAGGGAUCUGCCUUCUGGCGGGGACAACUCGGGGAAACUCGAGCUAAUACCGCAUAGUCUCUUCGGAGUAAAGCUAGGUACUUGUAUCUGGCACCAGAAGAUGAACCUACGUUGGAUUAGCUAGUUGGUGGGGUAACGGCCUACCAAGGCGACGAUCCAUAGCUGGUUUGAGAGGAUGAUCAGCCACACUGGGACUGAGACACGGCCCAGACUCCUACGGGAGGCAGCAGUGGGGAAUAUUGGACAAUGGGGGCAACCCUGAUCCAGCGAUGCCGCGUGUGUGAAGAAGGCCUGAGGGUUGUAAAGCACUUUUAGUGAGUGAGGAAGUGUAGGAGAUUAAGAGUCACC
rnacentral:rRNA from 1 species